GGGGAGCGAAUUGCUUCUGAGGUUUGCUGACAUUCUGUUUGGCUGCCUGAAAUGCUUUCUCUUCAUUCAAAGAGCAGCUGCUGGUCUCCGCCUCUCUGUCUUUCCUUCCUCCUCCCAGUGGCUUCCCUGUUCCUGCUAUCCUGGCUUUCCUGGCUUUUUUGAUCCUCAUCCUGGCUCUGGGGGGAAGGAGGAUGGGUCUGGAGCACCUGUGGGACCCAAGCCUGGGCCCACCACAACAGAAGAUGCAGCUUCCCAGCCCCAAGAGCCCAAGAUUGGAGGCCCUGAGCAGAAGCUGGGAUACCAGGACCGGGAGAACCCCUGAUCUCCAGCAGGAGAUCACACGUCUGCCCUGCUGCCCAGGUAGCGUGAGGCACUCUGCUCGGCUUGUCUCCUGGGUGCAUUGGGCACCCUCCAUCCACCUUGGGAGGCAUGGCAUGGGGUGUGGCCUGCAGGCGGUAGCUUCUGCAUCA
rnacentral:lncRNA from 1 species